GAUGGAUGGAUGGAUGGAUGGAUGGAGUGGCCCAGGUCCAAAAUCAGCAUUGAGUGAAAAAAUUACAUCAGCGCGUAAAACCAAGUGAGAGCUGCAGCCAGGACACAGGUGAUCUAAUCCAUGUUAGAUGUUAACACCCAUUGAAAGUCAUUCUGGAGCUGAAGAGGACACUCUGGCAUUAAUUACAAGUUUCCAUCUCUCCAUCUUUGUUCCAGUUACUUCACGCCUCAUCUCUGUUGUACCAAGUUAGUUGGAAUCUACUUGUGCUUGCCAAAGAAAUUAAAUCUGACCUUGAAAGAAAUCUUGCAAACAUCUCUCUUAAACAAAUAAAUUAAUAAACUCUUGAGUGGCUUCCAGCCUUUGAAUCCUGGCUGGCUGUCGGCUGAACUGCACACCACCAUUGCCAAGGCCCUGCCAGAAGCAGCACACGAUUAUAAAUGGAUCUCACAAUAGCUCAUUGUAAUCCUCGGACUUCCACAAAAUUGUUGUCAGCUGUUAAAGAAGUUAGAGAGUUGACUCACACAGAAAAAGACUUUAAGGCAGGCCAGUGACCGUCAGCUAGAGCAGCCCCCGGAGGGCCUUUCUCUAACCUGCUCUAUUAGGGGCCUCCCAUGAGCUUGACAGGCAAAGCAGGGGGAUGACUUUGUCCCUUU